rnacentral:rRNA from 1 species
UGGGGAAUAUUGCACAAUGGGCGCAAGCCUGAUGCAGCCAUGCCGCGUGUGUGAAGAAGGCCUUCGGGUUGUAAAGCACUUUCAGCGAGGAGGAAGGGUAGUGUGUUAAUAGCACAUUGCAUUGACGUUACUCGCAGAAGAAGCACCGGCUAACUCCGUGCCAGCAGCCGCGGUAAUACGGAGGGUGCAAGCGUUAAUCGGAAUUACUGGGCGUAAAGCGCACGCAGGCGGUUUGUUAAGUCAGAUGUGAAAUCCCCGCGCUUAACGUGGGAACUGCAUUUGAAACUGGCAAGCUAGAGUCUUGUAGAGGGGGGUAGAAUUCCAGGUGUAGCGGUGAAAUACGUAGAGAUCUGGAGGAAUACCGGUGGCGAAGGCGGCCCCCUGGACAAAGACUGACGCUCAGGUGCGAAAGCGUGGGGAGCAAACA